rnacentral:rRNA from 1 species
UACGGGGGGAGCAAGCGUUGUUCGGAUUUACUGGGCGUAAAGGGCGCGUAGGCGGCGUGACAAGUCAGUUGUGAAAUCUCCGGGCUUAACCCGGAGCGGCCAAGUGAUACUGUCGUGCUAGAGUGCGGAAGGGGCUACUGGAAUUCUCGGUGUGGCGGUGAAAUGCGUAGAUAUCGAGAGGAACACCUGCGGCGAAGGCGGGUAGCUGGGCCGACACUGACGCUGAGGCGCGAAAGCCAGGGGAGCGAACGGG